rnacentral:rRNA from 1 species
CAGUCGCCGCGGUAAUACGUAAGUGGCAAGCGUUGUCCGGAAUUAUUGGGCGUAAAGGGCUCGCAGGCGGUUUCUUAAGUCUGAUGCGAAAGCCCCCGGCUCAACCGGGGAGGGUCAUCGGAAACUGGGGAACUUGAGUGCAGAAGAGGAGAGUGGAAUUCCACGUGUAGCGGUGAAAUGCGUAGAGAUGUGGAGGAACACCAGUGGCGAAGGCGACUCUCUGGUCUGUAACUGACGCUGAGGAGCGAAAGCGUGGGGAGCGAACAGGAUUAGAUACCCCAGUAGUCCCUGUCUCUUAUAC